rnacentral:rRNA from 1 species
GACGAACGCUGGCGGCGUGCUUAACACAUGCAAGUCGAACGGAAAGGCCCUGCCUUUGUGGGGUGCUCGAGUGGCGAACGGGUGAGUAACACGUGAGUAACCUGCCCUUGACUUUGGGAUAACUUCAGGAAACUGGGGCUAAUACCGGAUAGGAGCUCCUGCUGCAUGGUGGGGGUUGGAAAGUUUCGGCGGUUGGGGAUGGACUCGCGGCUUAUCAGCUUGUUGGUGGGGUAGUGGCUUACCAAGGCUUUGACGGGUAGCCGGCCUGAGAGGGUGACCGGCCACAUUGGGACUAAGAUACGGCCCAGACUCCUACGGGAGGCAGCAGUGGGGAAUAUUGCACAAUGGGCGGAAGCCUGAUGCAGCAACGCCGCGUGCGGGAUGACGGCCUUCGGGUUGUAAACCGCUUUCGCCUGUGACGAAGCGUGAGUGACGGUAAUGGGUAAAGAAGCACCGGCUAACUACGUG